AACGAACGCUGGCGGCAUGCCUAACACAUGCAAGUCGAGCGAGGACUUCGGUCCUAGCGGCGGCCGGGUGUGUAACGCGUGGGAACGUGCCCUUUUCUUCGGAAUAGCCCUGGGAAACUGGGAGUAAUACCGGAUGAGCCCUUUGGGGGAAAGAUUUAUCGGCGAAGGAUCGGCCCGCGUUGGAUUAGGUAGUUGGUGGGGUAAUGGCCUACCAAGCCGACGAUCCAUAGCUGGUUUGAGAGGAUGAUCAGCCACACUGGGACUGAGACACGGCCCAGACUCCUACGGGAGGCAGCAGUGGGGAAUCUUAGACAAUGGGGGAAACCCUGAUCUAGCCAUGCCGCGUGAGCGAUGAAGGCCUUAGGGUUGUAAAGCUCUUUCAGCUGGGAAGAUAAUGACGGUACCAGCAGAAGAAGCCCCGGCUAACUCCGUG
rnacentral:rRNA from 1 species